GAUGAACGCUGGCGGCGUGCCUAAUACAUGCAAGUCGAGCGAACGGACGAGAAGCUUGCUUCUCUGAUGUUAGCGGCGGACGGGUGAGUAACACGUGGAUAACCUACCUAUAAGACUGGGAUAACUUCGGGAAACCGGAGCUAAUACCGGAUAAUAUUUUGAACCGCAUGGUUCAAAAGUGAAAGACGGUCUUGCUGUCACUUAUAGAUGGAUCCGCGCUGCAUUAGCUAGUUGGUAAGGUAACGGCUUACCAAGGCAACGAUGCAUAGCCGACCUGAGAGGGUGAUCGGCCACACUGGAACUGAGACACGGUCCAGACUCCUACGGGAGGCAGCAGUAGGGAAUCUUCCGCAAUGGGCGAAAGCCUGACGGAGCAACGCCGCGUGAGUGAUGAAGGUCUUCGGAUCGUAAAACUCUGUUAUUAGGCAAGAACAUAUGUGUAAGUAACUGUGCACAUCUUGACGGUACCUAAUCAGAAAGCCACGGCUAACUACGUG
rnacentral:rRNA from 1 species